rnacentral:rRNA from 1 species
GUGGGGAAUCUUCCGCAAUGGACGAAAGUCUGACGGAGCAACGCCGCGUGAGUGAUGAAGGUCUUCGGAUUGUAAAGCUCUGUUAAUCGGGACGAAAGAGCCUAGUGUGAAUAAUGCUAGGAAGUGACGGUACCGGAAUAGAAAGCCACGGCUAACUACGUGCCAGCAGCCGCGGUAAUACGUAGGUGGCAAGCGUUGUCCGGAAUUAUUGGGCGUAAAGCGCGCGCAGGCGGAUCUGCCAGUCUGUCUUAAAAGUUCGGGGCUUAACCCCGUGAUGGGAUGGAAACUACAGAUCUAGAGUAUCGGAGAGGAAAGUGGAAUUCCUAGUGUAGCGGUGAAAUGCGUAGAUAUGGGGAGGAACACCAGUGGCGAAGGCGGCUUUCUGGACGGUGUCUGACACUGAGGCGCGAAAGCUAGGGGAGCGAACGGGAUUAGAUACCCUUGUAGUCC